UUGCAACUUCUCAUGCCCCCGCCCCCUGCCUCCAUAACAUAUGACGGGUAACAGGGAUCCCGAAUCUGCCGGAGACCACAGCGGCCACUACCGAAGUAGUUUUGCUGCCGUUAAUUCCAAAACAGCAGACACCCGAAUUGGGGAUUAUUUUAAACUUGUUCGUGUUCACCAUGCUAAUGCUUUAGUGCAUUCGUCUCGGUGUUUUUGGUUUCCAUUCAAACCCCAAUUGCAUUUCGAAGAUUAGGAGCUUCAGUGAAUAAAUUGUAAGGUUGUUUCAGAAGAGGUGCCUGGGACUCUAUCUUCUCUCAAACUUUCUAGCAUGGAGCUGAAUGAUUUGACCCAAAAGCUUGGUAAUUUAAGGCAUAUAAAUUCUGGAGUUCACAUAGGAAGGAAGGAAGAAAGCAGUAUCAGUUCGAGAUCCUAUCUUAAGAACCCAGCAUCAUAACACCAGUAAUAUCGUCGACGUGCAUAAGGAUGUUGUUUCUGGGAUUAAGCUUGGUUGAAUAGGAGUCAUUGUGUUGAUGUAUGAUCUUUUCAUUGUCUUGGAUUCUAUUGAAAUCACAAGCUAUCUGUUGAAAAACGAACAUCUAGUGCUUUCAAAUUUAAAGCUGCCAUUGCAAAAUAGUAGGAAAAAUUGCUCAAUCAGGGCCCUAGUCUCUAUGUCUAGUGUUGACCCUGAAUAUCAAUCCAUUUCUAAAACAGAUAUUCUAUACUUCAAUAUAGGUUACAAAAUGUGAAUAUUGUGAUGACUCUGUUCAUUUUUGAAGCUAUGAAUCUCGAUCUGUAAAUAAAUUUGAAUCUUAGGUUUAUUGUAAUAUGUAAUUUCAUUGAGGCAGAACAUGUAUCAGUUGACUA